AUGGACGUGGACCAGCUGAUGGCGUCCUUCGGUGCGGUCACGAUGCACGGCUCCAACCGGCCACAGGCCUCCGUCCCGGCGGCAACGGUGGACGAGCUGACGGCGUACUUCAGGGCGGUGACCAUGCACGACUCGGGCGCCGCCGCGGCCGUCCCGGUGGCGCCGGUGGACCACGACGAGCCGGCGAUGGGUGAGGAGGCGUGCACGCUGCGGGUGCGGCUCCCGGACGGGCAGUUCAUCUGCAAGACCUUCGGCGCCGGUCGUCCGGCGACGGCGCUGUUCCGGUACUGCCACUCGGCGCUUACCGCCAGCUACGGCGCGGAAGUCGGGAUGCGGCCGUUUCGUCUCCUGAAGCUCGCCGGCGGCGCCACCGAUGAGAUACGUCCUGAAGGAUCGCCGCUGCGGGACCUCGGGCUGCACCAUUGCACCGUCCACCUGGUCUUCUGGGUUUAG
rnacentral:rRNA from 1 species